rnacentral:rRNA from 1 species
CCUACGGGAGGCAGCAGUGAGGAAUAUUGGUCAAUGGCCGGAAGGCUGAACCAGCCAUGCCGCGUGAAGGUCAGUGCCCUAUGGGCGUUAAACUUCUUUUGUGCGGGAGCAAUAAUGGUCACGUGUGGCCAGACGAGAGUACCGUACGAAUAAGCAUCGGCUAACUCCGUGCCAGCAGCCGCGGUAAUACGGGGGAUGCAAGCGUUAUCCGGAUGUAUUGGGUUUAAAGGGUGCGUAGGCUGUGAGGUAAGUCAGCGGGGAAAUGCCCCCGCUCAACGGGGUGAAGUGCCAUUGAUACUGCCUUGCUGGAAUGCGGAUGCGGUGGGAGGAAUGUGUGGUGUAGCGGUGAAAUGCAUAGAGAUCACACAGAACACCGAUUGCGAAGGCAUCUCACGAAUCCGCGAUUGACGCUGAUGCACGAAAGCGUGGGUAUCAAACAGGAUUAGAUACCCUUGUAGUC